CUUUCAAAGCUCCUCCUUCACAUUAGACAAAAUAUAGUUGAGGAGAAGGGCCUCUGGGCUACUUUGCUUACCCUGCUGCUAAUGUGACCUGGAUAAGGGGCAGAAAAUGGGGGGCCAGGGAGAUACAAAUAUUAGUGAACCUGUCAGGUCUAAAAGAGUAAAUAUUGGAUUGGCACUCAACAGGUGGGGAGGAAGAGGAGUCCAAAUGAGGUUGUUCUGUUCCUGCAGGAUAUUCCACCCUGUUGCCCCUUCACCCCACCACCUGGUUUGAUGCCCUCACAAUUGCAUACUGAAAGCUAACGGGGCAACAAAGCACUCUUGCACACCAAAAUUUGCCUGUUUAAGACUGGACUGAGUUAAUUUGCUGUGUAUUUCCGAGACAGUUUAAUGAAUGACGGUUUAUAUAUGAAGAGGAUUGUACGUGAUUAUAUUGUAGACUUUUAUAUUACCCAUGGAUGGAGUUCUGUUUUUGAUUUGUCCUCAGCCCAGAGCAGCUAUUGCCUUUUGUGUUUUUUUUAUUGUUUUCCUCAGCUUGCUCUUCUUUCCACACCUGCCCUGCAUUCAGUCUCGUUAGCCUUGCCCUGCUCCAUGUGUCUUUCCCAGCCAAUCAGCUCCCAGCCUGCCCUUGUGUUUUGCCACCUGCUCCUUGUUGCUUCAUUAGUUCAGUUUGUAUUUAAGUUCUGGUUUUCAGUUCAGUUUUGCUGGAUCCUUUGUUCUGUUUCUGGUUUGUUCUGUUCUGCCUACACAAACCUAGACUAGAUGAGUUAUUUUUCAGCCUUGUUCUGCCUGCAGUCUCCUGCAUCUGGGACCAUCUGCUCUGUUCCACCUAACAUAUAGACAACUAUGUAAUGUUGUCUAUAUGUAAUGUGUGGUUUGUGAAAACCAAUAUCAGACUCCCUCUGCUCCAUAGUUGUGCCUGUGCUGCCACAGUUAUAUAAUGAGGUUCUUCUUCUGUUGUAUCAACAGCAACAUGCCAUCUUAAUAGUGACAUUGCUGGUAUGAUCCUGUCUUAUUCUUGUGUUUGUCUUAAAUGUUUUCUCAUUUUUUUUAGAGAUGCACCUAAUAAACAUGUAACACCUACGGUCAUCCAUCAA